rnacentral:tRNA from 1 species
GCCGAUGUAGCUCAGUUGGCUAGAGCAGCUGAUUUGUAAUCAGCAGGUCGGAGGUUCGAGUCCUCUCAUCGGCU